rnacentral:rRNA from 1 species
GGAUGAACGCUGGCGGCGUGCUUAACACAUGCAAGUCGAACGAUGAAGCYCAGCUUGCUGGGUGGAUUAGUGGCGAACGGGUGAGUAACACGUGAGUAACCUGCCCUUAACUCUGGGAUAAGCCUGGGAAACURGGUCUAAUACCGGAUAGGAGCGYCYACCGCAUGGUGGGUGUUGGAAAGAUUUAUCGGUUUUGGAUGGACUCGCGGCCUAUCAGCUUGUUGGUGAGGUAAUGGCUCACCAAGGCGACGACGGGUAGCCGGCCUGAGAGGGUGACCGGCCACACUGGGACUGAGACACGGCCCAGACUCCUACGGGAGGCAGCAGUGGGGAAUAUUGCACAAUGGGCGMAAGCCUGAUGCAGCGACGCCGCGUGAGGGAUGACGGCCUUCGGGUUGUAAACCUCUUUCAGUAGGGAAGAAGCGAAAGUGACGGUACCUGCAGAAGAAGCACCGGCUAACUAC